GUGGGGAAUCUUCCGCAAUGGACGAAAGUCUGACGGAGCAACGCCGCGUGAGUGAAGAAGGUUUUCGGAUCGUAAAGCUCUUUCGUUAGGGACGAACGUGCUCUUUGUGAAUAAUGAGGAGUAAUGACGGUACCUAAAUAAGAAGCCACGGCUAACUACGUGCCAGCAGCCGCGGUAAUACGUAGGUGGCAAGCGUUGUCCGGAAUUAUUGGGCGUAAAGCGCGCGCAGGCGGGAUAUUAAGUCUGGCAUAAAAGUGCGAGGCUAAACGUCGGGAGGGGACAGAAACUGGUAUUCUUGAGUGUCGGAGAGGAAAGUGGAAUUCCAAGUGUAGCGGUGAAAUGCGUAGAGAUUUGGAAGAACACCAGUGGCGAAGGCGACUUUCUGGACGAUGUCUGACGCUGAGGCGCGAAAGCUAGGGGAGCGAACGGGAUUAGAAACCCCAGUAGUCC
rnacentral:rRNA from 1 species